rnacentral:rRNA from 1 species
CCUACGGGAGGCAGCAGUGAGGAAUAUUGGUCAAUGGGCUCGCGCCUGAACCAGCCAAGUCGCGUGAGGGAAGACUGUCCUACGGAUUGUAAACCUCUUUUGCCAGGGAGCAAGGGUGGCUUCGUGAACACGCAUCGAGAGUACCUGAAGAAAAAGCAUCGGCUAACUCCGUGCCAGCAGCCGCGGUAAUACGGAGGAUGCGAGCGUUAUCCGGAUUUAUUGGGUUUAAAGGGUGCGUAGGCGGAAUGCCAAGUCAGCGGUAAAAUCGCGGGGCUCAACCCCGUUGAGCCGUUGAAACUGGCGUUCUUGAGUGGGCGAGAAGUAUGCGGAAUGCGUGGUGUAGCGGUGAAAUGCAUAGAUAUCACGCAGAACUCCGAUUGCGAAGGCAGCAUACCGGCGCCCAACUGACGCUGAGGCACGAAAGCGUGGGUAUCGAACAGGAUUAGAUACCCCAGUAGUC